rnacentral:rRNA from 1 species
CGGCGCUGACUAAUAUGGCGCAACUGACGGUACCUGCAGAAUAAAAACGAGCUAACUCGUGCCAGCAGCCGCGGUAAUACGUAGGGUGCAAGCGUUAAUCGGAAUUACUGGGCGUAAAGCGUGCGCAGGCGGUUCGGAAAGAAAGAUGUGAAAUCCCAGAGCUUAACUUUGGAACUGCAUUUUUUAACUACCGAGCUAGAGUGUGUCAGAGGGAGGUGGAAUUCCGCGUGUAGCAGUGAAAUGCGUAGAUAUGCGGAGGAACACCGAUGGCGAAGGCAGCCUCCUGGGAUAACAAAAAAAUCAUGCACGAAAGCGUGGGGAGCAAACAGGAUUAGAUACCCUGGUAGUCCACGCCCUAAACGAUGUCAACUAGCUGUUGGGGCCUUCGGGCCUUAGUAGCGCAGCUAACGCGUGAAGUUGACCGCCUGGGGAGUACGGUCGCAAGAUUAAAACUCAAAGGAAUUGACGGGGACCCGCACAAGCGGUGGAUGAUGUGGAUUAAUUCGAUGCAACGCGAAAAACCUU